rnacentral:rRNA from 1 species
UACGUAGGGCGCAAGCGUUGUCCGGAAUUAUUGGGCGUAAAGAGCUCGUAGGCGGUUUGUCGCGUCUGCUGUGAAAACCUAAGGCUCAACCUUGGGCUUGCAGUGGGUACGGGCAGACUAGAGUGCGGUAGGGGUGACUGGAAUUCCUGGUGUAGCGGUGGAAUGCGCAGAUAUCAGGAGGGAACACCCGAGUGGCGAAAGGCAGGUCACU